rnacentral:rRNA from 1 species
CCUACGGGAGGCUGCAGUGGGGAAUAUUGCACAAUGGGGGAAACCCUGAUGCAGCGACGCCGCGUGAGUGAAGAAGUAAUUCGUUAUGUAAAGCUCUAUCAGCAGGGAAGAAAAUGACGGUACCUGAGUAAGAAGCCCCGGCUAACUACGUGCCAGCAGCCGCGGUAAUACGUAGGGGGCGAGCGUUAUCCGGAUUUAUUGGGUUUAAAGGGUGCGCAGGCGGGAGAUCAAGUCAGCGGUAAAAUGUCGGGGCUCAACCCCGGCCGGCCGUUGAAACUGGUUUUCUAGAGUUGGAGAGAAGUAUGCGGAAUUCGUGGUGUAGCGGUGAAAUGCAUAGAUAUCACGAAGAACUCCGAUUGCGAAGGCAGCAUACCGGCUCCAUACUGACGCUGAGGCACGAAAGCGUGGGGAUCGAACAGGAUUAGAUACCCUGGUAGUC